rnacentral:rRNA from 1 species
CGCGUGUGUGAAGAAGGCCUUUUGGUUGUAAAGCACUUUAAGCAGUGAAGAAGACUCCGUGGUUAAUACCCACGGACGAUGACAUUAGCUGCAGAAUAAGCACCGGCUAACUCUGUGCCAGCAGCCGCGGUAAUACAGAGGGUGCAAGCGUUAAUCGGAAUUACUGGGCGUAAAGCGAGCGUAGGUGGCUUGAUAAGUCAGAUGUGAAAUCCCCGGGCUUAACCUGGGAACUGCAUCUGAAACUGUUAGGCUAGAGUAGGUGAGAGGGAAGUAGAAUUUCAGGUGUAGCGGUGAAAUGCGUAGAGAUCUGAAGGAAUACCGAUGGCGAAGGCAGCUUCCUGGCAUCAUACUGACACUGAGGCUCGAAAGCGUGGGUAGCAAACAGGAUUAGAUACCCUGGUAGUCCACGCCGUAAACGAUGUCUACUAGUCGUUGGGUCCCUUGAGGACUUAGUGACGCAGCUAACGCAAUAAGUAGACCGCCUGGGGAGUACGGCCGCAAGGUUAAAACUCAAAUGAAUUGACGGGGGCCCGCACAAGCGGUGGAGCAUGUGGUUUAAUUCGAUGCAACGCGAAGAACCUUACCUGGUCUUGACAUAUCUAGAAUCCUGCAGAGAUGCGGGAGUGCCUUCGGGAAUUAGAAUACAGGUGCUGCAUGGCUGUCGUCAGCUCGUGUCGUGAGAUGUUGGGUUAAGUCCCGCAACGAGCGCAACCC